GAUCCUGGCUCAAGAACGAACGCUGGCGGCAUGCCUAACACAUGCAAGUCGAACGAGACCUUCGGGUCUAGUGGCGCACGGGUGCGUAACGCGUGGGAACCUGCCUUUAGGUUCGGAAUAACUCAGAGAAAUUUGAGCUAAUACCGGAUAAUGUCUUCGGACCAAAGAUUUAUCGCCUUUAGAUGGGCCCGCGUAAGAUUAGCUAGUUGGUGGGGUAAAGGCCUACCAAGGCGACGAUCUUUAGCUGGUCUGAGAGGAUGAUCAGCCACACUGGGACUGAGACACGGCCCAGACUCCUACGGGAGGCAGCAGUGGGAAUAUUGGACAAUGGGCGAAAGCCUGAUCCAGCAAUGCCGCGUGAGUGAUGAAGGCCUUAGGGUUGUAAAGCUCUUUUACCCGAGAUGAUAAUGACAGUAUCGGGAGAAUAAGCUCCGGCUAACUCCGUG
rnacentral:rRNA from 1 species